rnacentral:rRNA from 1 species
CAGCCGCCGCGGGAAAACGUAGGGUGCAAGCGUUAAUCGGAAUUACUGGGCGUAAAGCGUGCGCAGGCGGUUCGUUAAGACAGAUGUGAAAUCCCCGGGCUUAACCUGGGAACUGCAUUUGUGACUGGCGGGCUAGAGUAUGGCAGAGGGGGGUAGAAUUCCACGUGUAGCAGUGAAAUGCGUAGAGAUGUGGAGGAAUACCGAUGGCGAAGGCAGCCCCCUGGGCCAAUACUGACGCUCAUGCACGAAAGCGUGGGGAGCAAACAGGAUUAGAUACCCCAGUAGUCCCUGUCUCUUAUAC